CCAUGAUGUCUAAUUGAAUUAAAUGAAAAAGAACAAAGUAGAUAUUUGUUACAAACUUAAAAAUCAGAAGAGAAGAAGUCUUUGAGGAACCAACUAACAAAAGUACAAAGAACUAGAAGUGAUAAGAACAUAAAAGAUUAGAAUUCAAAAUGUCCUUACAGGCCUGAGGAAUCAAUAGGUAGUCGCCCAAUUAAGUUCAGGAGGGGAACAUUCAGAUAAGAGAGAGAAAACACUGGAGACUACUUAGGAACCCGUGCAACUGGAGAUCGCUGUGCCGGCUAAUAAGUAAUUCAUUCAGAGGCCACCCACGGAGAAGCAAUGGUAAAGGCCAGAGUGGCGGCCACAGCUAGGGCCAGACCAACUGAACCCAAAUCCUUACUCUGCCACAUGCUGGCUUGCUGUGUACCUUGGUAAGUUUCUUAGCCUCUCUGUGCUUCACUUUCCCGAUCUGUAAAAUGGGGAUCACACCUCACUGGGUUUUCUAAGAAUUAAAGGACUUGAAACAUGUGAAGCACUUACAAUAGGGCCUAGCACACAGUAAAUACUCAAUAUAUGUUAGGAAUUACUGUUACUAC
rnacentral:lncRNA from 10 species